AUGUCAUUAUGGGGUAUUGUGAUGUCAUUAUGGGGUAUUGUGAUGUCAUUGUGGGGUAUUGUGAUGUCAUUGUGGGGUAUUGUGAUGUCAUUAUGGGGUAUUGUGAUGUCAUUGUGGGGUAUUGUGAUGUCAUUAUGGGGUAUUGUGAGGUCAUUAUGGGGUAUUGUGAUGUCGUUAUGGGGUAUUGUGAUGUAAUUAUGGGGUAUUGUGAUGUCGUUAUGGGGUUUUGUGAUGUCAUUAUGGGGUAUUGUGAUGUCAUUAUGGGGUAUUGUAAUGUCAUUAUGGGGUAUUGUGAUGUCAUUAUGGGGUAUUGUGAUGUCAUUAUGGGGUAUUGUGAUGUCAUUAUGGGGUAUUGUGAUGUCAUUGUGGGGUAUUGUGAUGUCAUUAUGGGGUAUUGUGAGGUCAUUAUGGGGUAUUGUGAUGUCGUUAUGGGGUAUUGUGAUGUAAUUAUGGGGUAUUGUGAUGUCGUUAUGGGGUUUUGUGAUGUCAUUAUGGGGUAUUGUGAUGUCAUUAUGGGGUAUUGUAAUGUCAUUAUGGGGUAUUGUGAUGUCAUUAUGGGGUAUUGUGAUGUCAUUAUGGGGUAUUGUGAUGUCCUUAUGGGGUAUUGUGAUGUCAUUAUGGGGUAUUGUGGUGUCAUUAUGGGGUAUUGUGAUGUCAUUAUGGGGUAUUGUGAUGUCAUUAUGGGGUAUUGUGAUGUCAUUAUGGCAU
ensembl:lncRNA